rnacentral:rRNA from 1 species
CAGCCCUAAACGAUGCGCGUUAGGUGUAUCGGUGACCACGAGUCACCGAGGUGCCGAAGGGAAACCGUGAAACGUGCCGCCUGGGAAGUACGGUCGCAAGGCCGAAACUUAAAGGAAUUGGCGGGGGAGCACCACAACGGGUGGAGCCUGCGGUUUAAUUGGAUUCAACGCCGGAAAUCUUACCGGGACCGACAGCAACAUGAAGGCCAGGCUGAAGACUUUGCCGGAUUAGCUGAGAGGAGGUGCAUGGCGUAGUCGUGU